GAUGAACGCUAGCGAUAGGCUUAACACAUGCAAGUCGCGGGGCAGCACAAGGUAGCUUGCUAUCUGGGUGGCGACCGGCGCACGGGUGCGUAACGCGUAUGCAACUUGCCCUAUACAGGAGGAUAACCCGUCGAAAGACGGACUAAUACUGCGUAUGCUCACAACUUGGCAUCAAGUGGUGAGGAAAGAAAUUCGGUAUAGGAUAGGCAUGCGUCCCAUUAGCUUGUUGGUGAGGUAACGGCUCACCAAGGCAACGAUGGGUAGGGGAACUGAGAGGUUUAUCCCCCACACUGGUACUGAGACCCGGACCAGACUCCUACGGGAGGCAGCAGUGAGGAAUAUUGGUCAAUGGGCGCGAGCCUGAACCAGCCAAGUCGCGUGAAGGAUGACUGUCUUAUGGAUUGUAAACUUCUUGUAUACGGGAAUAACAAGAGUCACGGGUGACUCCCUGCAUGUACCGGAUGAAUAAGCAUCGGCUAACUCCGUG
rnacentral:rRNA from 1 species